AGGAAAAGAAACUAACAAGGAUUCCCCUAGUAACGGCGAGUGAAGCGGGAUGAGCUCAAAUUUAAAAUCUGGCUGCCUCAGGUGGUCCGAGUUGUAGUCUCGAGAAGUGUUUUCCGCGUUGGCCUGUGUACAAGUCCUUUGGAAUAAGGCGUCAUAGAGGGUGAGAAUCCCGUCCUUGACACAGAUCCCCAAUGCUUUGUGAUGCGCUCUCAAAGAGUCGAGUUGUUUGGGAAUGCAGCUCAAAAUGGGUGGUAAAUUCCAUCUAAAGCUAAAUAUUGGCGAGAGACCGAUAGCGAACAAGUACCGUGAGGGAAAGAUGAAAAGCACUUUGGAAAGAGAGUUAAACAGUACGUGAAAUUGUUGAAAGGGAAACGAUUGAAGUCAGUCAUGCUCGUAGGGAUUCAACCGGUUCUGCCGGCCUAUUUCCCUACUUGCAGGCCAGCAUCAGUUUUGACCGGUGGAAAAGGUUGGAGGGAAUGUGGCAUCCUCGGAUGUGUUAUAGCCCUCUUUCGCAUACAUCGGUUGGGACUGAGGAACGCAGCACGCCUU
rnacentral:rRNA from 1 species